AUCAGCUGCUGUCGUGCAGCCUGUGUAACACGUAGAGUGCAAGCUUGGUGCGGAUGAAUAUGGCGAAAAGGCCGCCCAGGAGGACAAGUUGGCCAUAGGGAAAAGCUCAAGGCUCAACCCCGAAACUGCGUCUGGAACUGGUUGUCUUGAGUCUCGGAGGGGAAAGCGGAAUAUCGCAUGUAGGGGUAAAAGCCGUAGAGAUGCGAGGGAACACCAGAGCCGAAGGGGGCUUGCUGGACGAGUACUGACGCUGAGGCGCGAAAGCGUGGGGAGCAAACAGGAUUAGAUACCCGUGUAGUC
rnacentral:rRNA from 1 species